CAUACCUGUAGCACAGCCGAUGUGUGAGACAGCAGAGCCAAGCCACAAGUGUGCAGCGAGGACAGCGAGCACUGAAUGGGAUCACGAAGAAAGUGCUAACUCAUAAAAUGGAAGGGACUACACGUGCAAAUCCAAGUGGAAAUUCCUGUAGACCAGAUCUCCAAUUAUAAACUUGGACUUGUGCGAGUGAUAUAAAAUAUCCUUCUAUGAACACACAUGCAUGGGAACAAGCACAUCAUCCUGCAUGAUGGCCUCACUUCACAGGAUAUGUGGAGAUAUCUACACGGCAACAUGCUGUGGGGUGACACAUGCACAGGUUCCCAGCACCAAGAACUGGCCCUCUUAGGGUAGGCUCUCCACAGUGCCGUUUCUGAACAGAGCUACUCUCCUGACCUUCCAAAACCAAUCAGCAAAAAUCCUCCAGAAGAUGCCGUGCAGUUUAACUAGACUAACUGUAGCUUUUCCAGCACCUUUCUCAAACCUCAGGCAAAGCAAUGGGAAGAGAUUUCAAAUGCAUGGUGUACAACUGAUAGGACCUGGAAUAACUCCCCUACCAUUGUGCUUGCUGUUUUCCCUCACUUUUCUCAAUUCAUCUGAGCAGUAAGCUGGCAAAAAUCCAUUCAUAUUUAAGUAGAAGUUCCGUUUCUUUUAAAAGUAGCCUGAUAUUACAUGUCAAAAUUCAAGUUAUGUUUAAACAAAAAUAAUGGCAUUUCCAAGGCUUAGUAAACAAAAGAAAUAUGCUGUAUUGAUAAGUAUGAUUUUUGUCAUAUAAUGACUUGAAGAAUGUUGAUGAGUUAUGUAUAGGAAGGAGAAAAGGAGAAAAUCAUCUUGUACUGCUGAGGUUACUGCUAGAAACAUGCAAGUGUUCACUGCAUAACCUUUGAACAGCAGUGAAUGCCUGCUAUAAAAUGUGAAUUAAACUGGCGUAGAUU